rnacentral:tRNA from 1 species
ACCUAUAGUCUACACUCAGUUGGUAGAGCAUGAGACUCUUAAUCUCAUGGCCAUGGGUUCAAGCCCCAAGUUGGGUG